UACGAAGGGGGCUAGCGUUGCUCGGAAUCACUGGGCGUAAAGCGCACGUAGGCGGCUUACUAAGUCAGGGGUGAAAUCCUGGAGCUCAACUCCAGAACUGCCUUUGAUACUGGUGAGCUUGAGUCCGGAAGAGGUGAGUGGAACUGCGAGUGUAGAGGUGAAAUUCGUAGAUAUUCGCAAGAACACCAGUGGCGAAGGCGGCUCACUGGUCCGGUACUGACGCUGAGGCGCGAAAGCUAGGGGAGCAAACAGG
rnacentral:rRNA from 1 species